UGGGCCUUUACGACGUUUUCAAAACCCGCUGGUCCACCACCGACGACGGCAAUCUCCCGCUCCACCGCAAGAUCGUCGCCGGUCUCAUCGCCGGCGGCAUUGGCGCCGCCGUCGGUAACCCGGCUGACGUCGCCAUGGUCCGGAUGCAGGCCGACGGCCGCCUCCCCCUCUCACAGCGCCGGAACUACGCCGGCGUCGGGGACGCCAUCCGCCGCAUGUCAGCGAGCGAGGGGAUUGGCAGCCUGUGGCGCGGAUCUUCACUCACCGUGAACCGUGCCAUGAUCGUGACGGCGUCGCAGCUGGCGACGUAUGAUGAAGCAAAGGAGGCGAUCAUCGCGCGUGGCGCCGGCAAUGGAUUGGGGACGCACGUUGCCGCCAGCCUGGCGGCUGGCGUGGUGGCGGCGGUGGCGUCGAAUCCGGUGGAUGUGGUGAAGACGAGGGUGAUGAAUAUGAGGGUGGAGCCUGGCGCGGCGCCGCCAUAUGCCGGAGCUGUGGAUUGCGCGGUGAAGACGGUGAGGGCGGAGGGGAUAAUGGCGUUGUACAAGGGGUUUGUGCCGACGGUGUCGCGGCAGGGGCCUUUCACAGUGGUGUUGUUCGUGACGUUGGAACAAGUCCGCCGACUGAUGAAAGAUUUUUGAGAUCUCAGAAACUCAAAAGAUGAAGACGACAAAGGAUUAUUAAUUGUCUUAUUUUUGCUCGAUUUUCUAUGGACCAUUUACUAAUUUUGAAAUGAUCUUAGUGCUGAG
rnacentral:misc_RNA from 1 species